ACCACACCCAAGGAGAGUAAAACGGUCUGGGUCACAUCCCCCACCAGCAUUUGGAUCCAGGCAUCAGCCAACCAACGUAUAACUCUCAUUUACUCAAAGAGCAAUAAAGAGACACCAUGGAAUCAGGCCAGACCCGUGCUGCGGUUCCAACUUACCUGGGAUGGUCCAUUUUUAACACCCUAUGCUGCUGUCUGCCUCUAGGAAUUGCUGCCAUUGUCUGCUCCUGUAAGGCACAAAAUGCCAAUGCUGUUGGAGAAUCAACUGAAGCUGCAAGUGCAUCAAAGACAGCCAAGACCCUAAAUAUCAUCGGACUUGUCCUUGGAAUAAUUAUGAUCAUCAUAAUCAUCGCGGUCAAAGCCACGAUGUGAAGACAACAUUGAUGAGGACUGUUUUUCCAGCACAUGAGUUGGAAUUUCAGCAAUGCCUUUGUUACUUUAACCUUCCCAUCCCCCACACACGGGACCCCCUAAGUAAAAACAGAUGUAAGAGAGUGUGAGAGUGUGUGUGUGUGUGUGCGUGUGUGUAAAAAGACAGAUUCUACAUGUGUUUGUAUUUUUAUAUCUUCUGAUCAAGAGCCCAUACAGAAAUGCCGCGAGUAAAAUAAAAAUAAAACACUGGAGAACACUGUUUUGUUGUCAAUUUAGUUUAGUAUCAAUUUAAGGGUCAGGUUAGAAUUAAAGUCUUGGUUAAUCAGUGAAAUCUGAAAACCUUUAAAAAAGAAACAGAGUUUUUAUAUAUGAUUGAAAAUAAUAGUACAUAGUAAAGUUUAUUUCUAUAACUGGUGUAUUUUUAAACUUUCAUAUUAACAUUCCACAAUUGUAUGGAAGCAUACACGUCCUGAGUUAUGUUUAACCAAUUUAUUUUUUCUCUGUGGCCUUUGUGGGACAAAUAUUACUUUGCAUUCUGAUUGUAACACUUCAUAGAGUAAACUGUGCCUUGUGACUUGUCGCAAUGAUCAAUAAGUAGAUGUCGGGUCAUACAUUUUGGUAAAGUGACUUCAUGAUGUGUAACACAUAUGUGUUUAAACAAUAUUUUUAAUCAAGGAGAAUGCUUGCAAAAAGAGUUCUUAAAACAUUGAGCACACAGUGGCAUGCUUUUUUCUCCGUGGAAGGAAGGAAGUUCUUGUAAUGCAAGGAUGUUUAUUCUGUCUUCUUGGAGAUAAAUGUUUGUCUGUAAAACAUCUGCCAAUCCUUAGGUCUUCUUCUCUGUGUGUAAAAACUGCAUUUUCUUCAUCUCUGAAGUGCUUAAAAUAAAGAAUAGAUGUUUUGUGA